AUGAGGCACCCUGCGACACAGCGCUCCUGGGAGCCCUGUGAGAGAAGGAACACAGCGAGCCCUCCGGGGACGGCCUGCUCCCACCACCGCCCUUCAGACAAAGCUUGUAACAAGCAUUUAAGGAGCACCCGCCACGGGGCCUGUAGGAGCUGCUCAGACGACGAGAGGGCAACUGGCCCCCAAUCUGAGCAAAGAGCAGCGGAAACCUGUGUCGUCGUCGUCCCCCGCCCCCACGAUCUCUUCAUUUCUAGGAACCCGGCUCGGAUUCUUUCAGGGCGAAACCACGCAAGGGCUCAGCCUCCCGAGGAGAGGAAAAGGAGGGGGCGGCGGGGAAGGGGGGUGGGUCUGCUGGGCAAAGGCAGAGACUCGGGCACGGCACAGGGGUGGGGUGUCCCCUGCGGGCAGGGUUUGCUGCAGAGCGCGCCUGCACGCCCGCACAUCACCCACACCCACAACUACACACGACACACACACACACACACACACACACAAAACCCAUACACCCCCCCACCCCCGCCGGCCCCCCAUGCCCACUCUGCAGGCAAGCAGCAGAUUCGGGGAGAGGGGAGUGCAGCCCCAAAAGAAAAUCGAGGGCCUGGCGCCCAGCCAGGCGGCUCCUGCAGCGCCCACGCCAGGGGUACCGGGCACGCGGGACGCAGCGGGCCGGGACGCUGGAGGAGCCGCGCGCAGCCGGGAGAGCAGACCAGGAGCAGCCGGGCGGAGGGCGCGGCGGGGAGGCUAGGCGCCCGCGCUGCCCCCGCCCCUCAGCUGCCGGCGCCGCCCCCGCUGCGGCGGGCGAGGGGCGGGACGGGGCGGGGCGCGGCGUAUAUAAGGCGCGGGGCGGGCGCCGCUCUUUUGUCUCUUGCUGCAGCAACGCGAGCGGGAGCGGCAGAACCCCUGGCCGGAGAGAGACGCCUCGGAUUGUUUUAAGAAAAUGGCAGACAAGCCUGACAUGGGGGAAAUCGCCAGCUUCGAUAAGGCCAAGCUGAAGAAAACGGAGACGCAGGAAAAGAACACCCUGCCGACCAAAGAGACCAUUGAGCAGGAGAAGCGGAGUGAAAUUUCCUAAGAACCUGGAGGAUUUCCCACCCCCGUCAUCUUGGAGACCCCAGUCGUGAUGUGGAAGAAGAGCCACCUGCAAGAUGGACACGAGCGACAAGCUGCACUGUGAACCCGGGCACUCCGUGCCGAUGCCACCGGCCUGUGGGUCUCUAAGGGGACCCUCCCCCAAUCGGACUGCCAAAUUCUUCGGUUUGCCCUGGGAUAUUAUAGAAAAUUAUUUGUAUGAUUAAUGAAAAUAAAACACACCUCGUGGCAUGGC
rnacentral:lncRNA from 1 species